GCAGGAGAGAGAAGAAAGUGGUGGCACAAUAAAUAGAGAGAGAAAAGGAGACAAAAAAGGAGAGAGAAGGGGCAUUGAGAGAUAUGGAAUCAAAGGAGGUUAGGAAAUGCAAAGACAACCAUGGGAAGAGAGAAAUCUGGUGGCUAAAAGAGAAGAGAGAUAGAUAUCUGGGCUGCAACGUGUUCUUUGCUGGUGAAGAAAUGGGUGCGUUUUGAAGAGAGAAGAAGAGUUGCAAAAGAGGAGACUGAAGUUGGAAAGCCAAUCACAUGCCUAGAUUCAAACCCUAGAAUCAUAGAAAGCAAGUGGAAAAGCUUAAAGGGUAGAAGGUUGAGUUUUUCUAGGCCAGAUAGAGGAUUGGAGCACAUGCAACCAGGCUCUCAUGCCCAUUAUUCUAGACCAAAAUUCACAAUCUUAGAAAGACAUGAAGAGAAAACAUUUCAUUUGCCUUAAAUGAGAUACAAAAAGAUAGCAAAGCAUAUACAACAGAGGAAAGAGAAGAUUCAAAAUAUGAGUUUUUUAUGUACAAACUCACCCAUUGAGAGAGAGAGAGAGAGAGAGAGAGAGAGAGAGAGACAUAUUCUUAAAUGGUUACCAUUUAACUAGUUAGAAGAUCAAAACCCAAUUUAAUGGAGCUUAGAGGAGACAGAAAAUUGGGGCGAGAAAUUGGCUUGCUCAUGGCUGAUAGAAAUUAGAGCCGACGGUGGCUAGUGGAAACUAGAUACGAAGAGUGGGAUUGGGAAAUGUGAGAGAGAGAGAAAUCAAGAGGUUUUCUAUUUUUUUGAUUUCUGUGCAUCACCGGUUGACAAGAUCACUAGGUAACAUUCUUAUUAACUUGACAACCCAUUUAUGCCAAAACUCUCGUCAUUUCUGUGAGCGACAAAUCUCUCGCCCACUCCAAUCCCUGAACUUUCUCCCUCUCUCUGUUAGCGCCAAAACUCUCGCCCUCUCUUAUUGAGCGCCAUUAAAACUUGUUUGAGGCAAAGAAGAAGAAGCUUUAUGCCAUUAAAACUUGUUUUGAGGAAAUGGAGAAAAAGCUUUGUGAGAGCUUGCAGAAAAAGGCAACGCAAAGGUACUCAUUGUGAUAGAUCGAAGUUGGGUUUCUUUCUCUUGUGGAGAAGAGCUUCUUUGAAAACAUGUUGGGCUAGUUUGUGAAAGAUAGCGAAUGAUUCAAGAUCGAAAGCAACUGCAAAGGAUCUAAGGUAAAAAAUAAUUUCAUUCAGAACCUCCAAAUCGCCGAAUCAAUUUGGCUUAAAAACCCAAAUCUUGAGGAAGUUCUAAAGCCCCUAUUUUUUUUGAUUUUAUGUAUGCCAUUCAUCUUUUUUUGUUUUUUUCUCUCAGCCCUCUCUCACUCACACGGAUUCUCUUUCUAAACUGCCAAUCUUUUGGGAUCGCCCUCUCUCAGCUCCCUCUCUUGCUCACUUUCUCACUCUAGGACCUCUUCGUCUCUCUCUCUUUUCAUUUUAGGGUUGGGGAUCAAGCUGAAUUAUCAUUUUAGGUAAUGGUGUAAUGUUUUUUGGUGCUUGUUUGGUAUGGGCUUUGUCUUUGGAUAGGCGUUAAGUCUUUUUUGUGAUAUUUUGAAAUUCAUAUUUGAAUUGUGCAAUUUUUAAUGUUCUCAUGUAUGUGGUUGACUUUCAUACAAUUCAUCUAGAAAGAUGAAAAAGAGAAUGUAGCUUUUCUAUUUAAUGUAGCUUUUAUAUUUUUUUAAAAAAUUAAUUAUUAGUUUAGGUUCUUUUUUUUUUCAUGGAAAUUUCCAUAUUUACCUUUCUUUACCAAAACUUGUUCAAUUUCUGAGUAGGAUUGUUUUAAUCUUAAUUUUUUCCAUUCUUUUCUAAAACUUUCAACUUAAAGUUGAAGUGUGAUGGUUUUCAUCUGGCUUAUGUUAUCUCUCUAAAAUGUAGAGGUUAUGUGGCGUGAAAGGAAAGUAUAUAUUAUCUAUUAGGUUAAUAUGGAAGGUACAUAUUGUAAUCAGUGUAUAUGGGAAGGGUAGAUACAAUAUCUUGUAUUUAUGGUAAAUUUGGUUAUACUUUAGGUGUUAUAUUGUAAUUUGUCUAUAAAGAUAAGUCUGUAUGUUCAUAUGAUUAAUGGACACUGAGUUUCUUCAGAGAAACCUGAGACUUUUCAUAUGGUAUCAGAGCCAGAUUCAUCUUCGUUGUGUCCAUUCUGGUGAUUGAGUAUGUCAAUAUGUUAUUACUCCCGAUUCAACCCAUCUGAAAAUCGGCGCCUCUAUUUAUUUUUGCCUUUGGAUCUUGAUCUCAGGGUCCAGAUUCGUUUGAAAUCUCACCCUACCAUUCUAAUCCGAUAUUGUCAUUGACCAUCUGAAAACUUUAUGAAAAACCAAGCACAUGCCUAGAUUCAAACCCUAGAAUCAUGCUUAGAUUCAAACCCUAGAAUCAUAGAAAGCAAGUGGAAAAGCUUAAAGUUUAGAAGGUUGAGUUUUUCUAGGCCAGUUAGAGGGUUGGAGCACAUGUGACCAGGCUUUCAUGCCCAUUAUUCUAGACCAAAAUUCACAAUCCUAGAAAGACAUGAAGAGAAAACAUUUCAUUUGCCUUAAAGGAGACACAAAAAGAUAGCAAAGCAUAAACAACAGAGGAAAGAGAAGAUUCAAAAUAUAAGUUUUUUAUGCACAAACUCACCCAUUUAGAGAGAGAGAGAGAGAGAAAGAGAGAGAGAGAGAUUCUUAAAUGGUUACCAUUUAACUAGUUAGAAGAUCAAAACCCAAUUUAAUGGAGCUUAGAGGAGAUAGAAAAUUGGGGCGAGAAAUUGGCUUGCUCAUGGCUGAUAGAAAUUAGAGACGACGGUGGCUAGUAGAAACUAGAGACGAAGAGUGGGAUUGGGAAAUGUGUGAGAGAAAGAGAAAUUAAGAGGUUUUCUAUUUUUUUGAUUUUUGUGCAUCACCAGUUGACAGGAUCACUAGGUAACAUUCUUAUUAACUUGACAGCCCAUUGAUGCCAAAACUCUUGUCAUUUCUGUGAGCACCAAAUCUCUCGCCCACUCCAAUCCCUGAACUUUCUCCCUCUCUCUGUUAGCUCCAAAACUCUCGCCCUCUCUUGUUGAGCGCCAUGAAAACUUGUUUGAGGCAAAGGAGAAGAAGCUUUGUGCCAUUAAAACUUGUUUUGAGGAAAUGGAGAAAAAGCUUUGUGAGAGCUUGCAGGAAAAGGCAACGCAAAGGUACUCUUAUUGUGAUAGAUCGAAGUUGGGUUUCUUUCUCUUGUGGAGAAGAGCUUCUUUGAAAACAUGUUGGGCUAGUUUGUGAAAGAUAGCGAAUGAUCCAAGAUCGAAAGCAACUGCAAAGGAUCUAAGGUAAAAAAUAAUUUCAUUCAGAAGCCCCAAAUCGCCGAAUCAAUUUUGCUUAAAAACCUAAAUCUUGAGGAAGUUCUAAAACCCCUAUUUUUUUUGCUUUCAUGUAUGCCAUUCAUGUUUUUUUGUUUUUUUUCUCAGCCCGCUCUAUCUCUCUCACUCGGAUUCUCUUUCUAAACUGCCAAUCUUUUGGGAUCGCCCUCUCUCAGCUCCCUCUCUUGCUCACUUUCUACUCUUGGACCUAUCCGUCUCUCUCUCUUUUCAUUUUAGGGUUGGGAUCAAGCUGAAUUAUCAUUUUAGGUAAUGGUGUAAUGUUUUUUGGUGCUUGUUUGGUAUGGGCUUUGACUUUGGAUGGGCAAAAGGUUAAGUCUUUUUUGUGAUAUUUUGAAAUUCAUAUUUGAAUUGUGCAAUUUUUAAUGUUCUCAUGCAUGUUUCUCAUGUCUGUGGUUGACUUUUAUACAAUUCAUCUAGAACGAUGAAAAAGAGAAUGUAGCUUUUCUAUUAAAUGUAGCUUUUAUAUUUUUUUUAAAAAUUAAUUAUUAGUUUAGGUUCGUUUUUUUUUUCAUGGAAAUUUCCAUAUUUACCUUUCUCUACCAAAACUUGUUCAAUUUCUGAGUAGGAUUGUUUUAUGGAAAUUUUAAUUUUUUCCAUUCUUUACUAAAACUUUCAACUUAAAGUUGAAGUGUGAUGAUUUUCAUCUGGCUUAUGUUAUCUCUCCAAAAUGUAGAGGUUAUGUAGUGUGAGAGGAAAGUAUAUAUUAUCUACUAGGUUAAUAUGGAAGGUACAUAUUGUAAUCAGCGUAUAUGGGAAGAGUCGAUACAAUAUCUUGUAUUUAUGGCAAAUUUGGGUAUAUUUUAGGUGUUAUAUUGUAAUUUGUCUAUAAAAGACAAGUCUGUAUGUUCAUAUGAUUAAUGGACACUGAGUCUCUUCAGAGAAAGCUAAGACUUUUCAUAUGGUA